rnacentral:rRNA from 1 species
UUUGAAAAGAAAAUUGGACAAAGUUUUCGUUGGGGAACCUGGGGGAAGGUCAUUGUUUUGUUCCUUUAGAGACAGGCCCGCGAACCAAUUAUAUCAUUGUUUUUUUCAAGUGAGAGGGGACCUUGUCUCCCCCGGGAAAGGGGUAUUCGUUUUGGUUUCUGGGAUGUGUUCCUGUUUUUCGCCUAUCCCCCUUGGUGUGAGUGGAUGAGCGGUGCCAUGUCCAAACAACACAACAAGAUCUUGGAAGUAAAAGUCGUAACAAGGUUUCCGUAGGUGAACCUGCGGAAGGAUCAUUACUGUGAUUUAGUACUACACUGCGUGAGCGGAACGAAAACAACAACACCUAAAAUGUGGAAUAUAGCAUAUAGUCGACAAGAGUGGAAGUAAGAGCGUAACAAGGUUUCCGUAGGUGAACCUGCGGAAGGAUCAUUAAGAAUUGAUAAUAUUUGUGAAAUUUACACAGCAAACAAUAAUCAUACAAUCAAAACAAAAAUAAUCAAAACUUUUAACAAUGGAUCUCUUGGUUCUCGUAUCGAUGAAGAACGCAGCGAAACGCGAUAUUUCUUGUGAAUUGCAAAAGUGAAUCAUCAGUUUUUGAACGCACAUUGCACUUUGGGGUAUCCCCCAAAGUAUACUUGUUUGAGCGUUGUUUCUCUCUUGGAAUUGCAUUGCUUUUCUAAAAUUUCGAAUCAAAUUCGUUUGAAAAACAACACUAUUCAACCUCAGAUCAAGUAGGAUUAGCCAGCUCGAACUUAAGCAUAUCAUAGACGGAGGAAGAAGCUGGCCGAGCGAACUAGACUUUUUUUCAGGGACGCUUGGCGGCCGAGAGCGAGUGUUGCGAGACAACAAAAAGCUCGACCUCAAAUCAGGUAGGAAUACCCGCUGAACUUAAGCAUAUCAAUAAGCCGGAGGAAAGAAAACCGAAGAUCGGCCCUCGGCGGCCCUUUCAUCCGCGUUGUUGGGUGAAAAUUUUGGCUUCACAACUGGUUGGGGGCCAAACCAGCGGGGGAAUUCCCGUGGAUUGUGUUUGUUUCGAUCGAACGACCGUGCAACUCAAGGCAAGCACGGCUUAGUCUCUUGCGCUUAUUUUUGCCACCCCGGGUCGCGCGACACUCCGCUGAGAUUUAAAUAUAUAAAAACGGGAGAGAAA